UUUCUGCUCCAGCCCAGCUCCUGGACUGGCCCCAGGUUCUGGCCCUAUGGGUUUCAAUCCAAGCAUCAUUCACUGUUGCACAUGUUUGGCAGCAGGACCCAGCUCACUGUCUUAGGCAAGCCCAAGGUUCCUCAUUUAGUACUCUGUUCCCGCCCUCCUCUGAGGAGCUCCAAGCUAACAAGGCCACCCUAGUGUGUCUCAUGAGUGACUUCUACCUGGGCACCAUGACAGUGGCCUGGAAGGCAGACAGCAUCAUCAUCACCCAGGACAUGGAGACCACUAAGCCUUCCAAACAGAGCAACAAGUAUGCGGCCAGCAGCUACCUGAGCCUGAUGCCUGAACAGUGGAGAUCCCGCAGAAGCUACAGCUGCUGGGCCAUGCAUAAGGGGAGCACCAUGGAGAAGACAAUGGCCCACACAGAAUGUUCCUAG